UACGUACCGUCCAAACGUUAUUCGGAAUUACUGGGCUUAAAGGGUACGUAGGCGGCGCUGUCAGUCGGGUGUGAAAUCCCAGGGCUCAACCCUGGAACUGCGCCCGAUACUGCAGUGCUUGAGGGAGACAGAGGUAAGCGGAACUGAUGGUGGAGCGGUGAAAUGCGUUGAUAUCAUCAGGAACACCAGUGGCGAAAGCGGCGCACUGGACCAUAACUGACGCUGAGGCGCGAAAGCUAGGGGAGCAAACAGG
rnacentral:rRNA from 1 species